rnacentral:misc_RNA from 1 species
GAUGAAGAACGUAGCGAAAUGCGAUAAGUAAUGUGAAUUGCAGAAUUCAGUGAAUCAUCGAGUCUUUGAACGCACAUUGCGCCCCCUGGUAUUCCGGGGGGCAUGCCUGUCCGAGCGUCAUUGCUGCCCUCAAGCACGGCUUGUGUGUUGGGCCCCCGUCCCCGGUUUCCCCCGGGGACGGGCCCGAAAGGCAGCGGCGGCACCGCGUCCGGUCCUCGAGCGUAUGGGGCUUUGUCACCCGCUCUGUAGGCCCGGCCGGCGCCAGCCGACACCCAACUUUAUUUCUAAGGUUGACAUCGGAUCAGGUAGGGAUACCCGCUGAACUUAAGCAUAUCAAUAAGCGGAGGA